AGCUCUUAUUUUAUGAGGCAACACCUUCUUUCCAGGUAUAGACUAUUAAUCAAGGUGACUUCCUAGUACGAAACACAGGUAAGAAAACCAGGACAGUGAAACAACAGCCCCGUUCACUGAAGAAUGUUCCAACAGGACCGAUACGGCAACAUUAUGCUGCUAUUCAUAUUGGCGGCAUGUUUCACAUUGUCAGCGGGACAAACGGGAUACCAAAUACUCACACCAACCUCGCCAGCACCAGCUUCACCGGAAAGAGCAUUAGUGAUUGCGGUGACAACUUGGCAGUCUCAUCAAGAACUGAAUGAAACUACGGUUUCUGCAUUAGUGCAACAGCUCCAGGCACAACUACAGAAGUUACAACCACAUCUGGAUUUUCAGAUGACACUGAGGAAGAUACAGAAAGUGUGACAGUGUGUCUGAAUAAUUCAGGACACAACUUUUCACAAUUCAAUUUCUCAAUUCUACUACCUAUUACUUAUAGUUGAAUUAUAUUGCAAGUUUAUAGACUAUCACAACGUGCCACACAUUGAGAUAAUACAUUGAUGGUGGUAUUCUUUUCUUUAUGUUUUACUUGAGAGUUUCUAUGUUAAAAAGGGUAUUGUAGUCUGUGUCUAUGACUGGGUAACAAGUAUAUCAAACUAUUCUGUAUACACAUUUGUAACUAAAUCCCAUGGCCUGGUUCUGGGCUUUGUUGCACUUUAUUUCCCUUCUGCUGUAUGGCUUACUUCUGGAACCACUCUUUGACCUUUUUUUCCAAUAAAUAGAAGUUAUAACAUUAAACAGUU